rnacentral:rRNA from 1 species
AAACGACUCUCGGCAACGGAUAUCCCGGCUCUCGCAUCGAUGAAGAACGUAGCGAAAUGCGAUACUUGGUGUGAAUUGCAGAAUCCCGUGAACCAUCGAGUCUUUGAACGCAAGUUGCGCCCGAAGCCUCUAGGCUGAGGGCACGUCUGCUUGGGUGUCACGC